rnacentral:sRNA from 1 species
AAGCUAUUAAUGUAAAAUGUACAGUUUUUUCACAGAAACCUUUCGAACUUCUUCGUUUAAGCACUGCGACAACUUUACCUUACAAAACCAUCUAAUAGCUUUUGUUAACCGCUAAUGUUUAGCAAUCUAAUACGAUAUUUGAGGUAUGUAUGUCUGGUAAAAUGACAGGUUCUGUAAAAUGGUUUAAUGAAACUAAAGGCUUUGGUUUCAUCUCACAAGAUGAUGGUGGCGCAGAUGUCUUCGUUCACUUCCGCGAAAUUGUUUCAGAUGGUUUUAAAACGCUGACGGAGGGACAGAAAGUGUCUUUCAACGUCGAGCAAGGUCCUAAAGGCCCUCAAGCGACUCAAGUCACUCCGAUCUAAUAGGUUGUCCGAAUCAUCAUGGUGGCGUGAUACUUCAUCACGCCACUCGUC